rnacentral:rRNA from 1 species
CCUACGGGCGGCAGCAGUGGGGAAUAUUGGACAAUGGGCGAAAGCCUGAUCCAGCCAUGCCGCGUGUGUGAAGAAGGCCUUCGGGUUGUAAAGCACUUUCAGUGGGGAAGAAAGCCUUGGGGCUAAUACCCUCGAGGAAGGACAUCACCCACAGAAGAAGCACCGGCUAACUCCGUGCCAGCAGCCGCGGUAAUACGGAGGGUGCGAGCGUUAAUCGGAAUUACUGGGCGUAAAGCGCGCGUAGGCGGUCUGAUAAGCCGGUUGUGAAAGCCCCGGGCUCAACCUGGGAACGGCAUCCGGAACUGUCAGGCUAGAGUGCAGGAGAGGAAGGUAGAAUUCCCGGUGUAGCGGUGAAAUGCGUAGAGAUCGGGAGGAAUACCAGUGGCGAAGGCGGCCUUCUGGACUGACACUGACGCUGAGGUGCGAAAGCGUGGGUAGCAAACAGGAUUAGAUACCCGAGUAGUC